rnacentral:pre_miRNA from 1 species
AUGUGGAUCACCUGGUGUCUUGUUGAAAUACGAAUCUGAUUCAGUGGACCUGGGAUGGAGCCUGGAAUUCUGCAUUUCUGCAAGCUUUCAGGUGAUGGGAAU